rnacentral:rRNA from 1 species
UACAUGUGGGGCAAGCGUUGUUCGGAAUUACUGGGCAUAAAGGGUGCGUAGGCGGUUUGUUAAGUCACUGGUGAAAGUUUGCGGCCCAACCGUAAAAUUGCCUGUGAUACUGGCGAACUUGAGUGCGUGAGGGGUAGGGGGAACGAGCAGUGUAGCGGUGAAAUGCGUAGAUAUAGGGAGGAAUAUCAAUAAAGGCGAAGGCAAUUAACUAUUCUGCUACUGACAUUGAGGCACGAAAGCGUGGGGAGCAAAACGG